GGACUACUGGGGUUUCUAAUCCUGUUUGCUCCCCACGCUUUCGCAGUUGAGUGUCAGUGUCCGUCCAGUGGGCCGCCUUCGCCGCUGGUAUUCCUCCCGAUCUCUACGCAUUUCACCGCUACACCGGGAAUUCUACCCACCUCUCCGGAACUCGAGUCUCACCGUUUCUUGGGCCCUUCUUGGGUUAAGCCCAAGGAUUUCACCCAAGACAAAUGAGACCACCUACUUGCCCUUUACGCCCAAUGAUUCCGAGCAACGCUUGCACCCUCUGUAUUACCGCGGCUGCUGGCAC
rnacentral:rRNA from 1 species